rnacentral:lncRNA from 1 species
UCAAGUUCAAUCAUGCCCCGUGCUCCUAAAAUGUGCUCACAUGUUUGGGAAUACUUUGAGGUAGUAGAAGAUAAUGAAGAAGUUCGUAAAGUAAAGUGCAAGCAUUGUGGUCGAAUCUUUAAUGUUUAGUGCUCCCUCAAAGCAGAUCAAUCAACUUGGACUGCAGAACAUACAUAAGGCUCUUGAUUCUGCUGUCUAUAUAUGGAUAUACCUUCUUAGGUGAGUUCACAAUGUUUAACAAUAUUCCUUGUCCAUUUCAUUAAAAGACUAUAGUUUUUAAUUAUAACACAGUGCUUUUAAUUAUGCUUUCGUCAUUUUAACUAUGAACUUUUAAAGGAUAAGUGGCAAAAGAGUUGGUUUACGUCAUUGAUGGUUUCCACUAGCCACUGCCACUUCUUGUCACGUUAGAUAGGGACAGUGUGAUAUCGAAACCAUACUGAAUCGUAGCGAACCAAAUAAGAAAAUUUUGAAUCGUACCGAACUUCUUUGGUACGGUAUUUGAUAUGCACAAUUGAUAAACCGAAUAUCAAAGUACCAAACCGUAAUUCAUAAAUACUGUACUGAAGUACCGAUCGUGCACCCCCUAGUGGACGCUUUAAAGACUGAACUUGUCAUGACCCAAUUUCUCCUAUAGACCGUGAUGGGGCCCAACGUCACCGCUAGGCAAGCCAACGAUAAAAUAACUAUGUGAUUACUCUUUUUAAUAGGUUUCCAAGUAAUUUAAAUUCUAUUUAUUAAGAGAUUUAAGAAGUAGGGAGUUUAAUAAAUAAAAUGAAAACAAUUGAGUGCAAUCAUCGAUAUAUAAAUAUUUCAAAACCAUAAGGUCUACUAGAGUGUGUGCCAAGACCUGGUGUUACAAGUGUAUGAGUACUAGUAGAAUAUAAAAAACUCUAACUACUGUGUGAAAUAACAUGGACAGAAAAUAAGUAUAAAAGAAAGGCUCUAGGUGCUGCAGAACGGAUGAGGAAGCAGCUCACCACUAGUCUUCAGGGUAUCGGGGAUGCGCGCCGGUGUGACCGACAGAUGUACCUGCUUCAGAUCCUGCAUAGUUAGUGCAGAAGUGUAGCGUGAGUACAUAAACAACAUGUACCCAGUAAGUAUCAAGUCUAACCUCGAAGAAGUAGUGACGAGGGGUCGACAUCAACACUUACUAUGGGCUAACAUUAAAGAAAUACAUAAAUCCAAAUAAGCAUGGGUUAUGUAAAUAAUAAUGAUAACUCAAUAACAAGCAUAAAGUAAAUAAUUCUUUCACGCAUGGAAAGUCCCAAAUAAAUUUUGUCUUAUAUAAUCUUAGCCUCUCAAGCGAGGGAAAAGAUAUUAAAUAUAUGAUUACACUUUGAGUGUUAUCACGUACGAUUAUGCCGAGGUCGUACGGUCCGAUCAAGAAUAAUAUGUACACUGCUGAGGGUCGAGCGGUAUGAACCAUAGAUGCAGCAAUCUACUGCCAAGGCGUUCGGCGUGCUCCACAAGAAGAGAGGAUACUUUAUAAACAUCCGGUUUAAUAGCUAAUACAAGGCUAAUGUACAAUGAAACACAAUUUCUUUUAUUAAGGUCAAGCAACCCGCCAAAACUCAAUAAGUGAAAUUCGGUCUUUUAUAAUUCAUCUAAUAAGUUUUGAUAUAAUUUAGACACUUUAAUUGACAAGUAGGGUGCAAACAUUACAAGUAUUUUAUGAUUCGGGUCCUAAGCUACCCGGACAUAAGCAUAGUUAGUAGCUACACACGGGCUCUCGUCACCUCGUGCGUACGUAGCCCCCACAAUUAGAAGCAAAUAGCAAUUCAAAUCACCUAUGGGGUAAAUUCUCUCUUACAAGGUUAGGAAAGAGACUUACCUUGUCUCAAAGCUCGCUUUCCGAUAUCAAAUUCUCUCUAAAGCCUCAACUCGAUGCCAAAAAAUCCGAAACUAGUCAAAUUUUGUAUAAAUUAAUCAAUAUAUGUUUCAAAUUUUAUAAUUUAACUAUUAGAGUAAUUACCCAACCCAAAUUGGAAGAUUCUUAAAAUUCACUCCCUGGCCCACGUGCCCGGAUUCCGAAAAUUUUCGAAGAACGUUAUUACCAUAAUCUCACGAACACAAAUAUAUAAUUUUCACUCAAUCCUAUAACCAUUUUCAUGGGUAAAUCCCAUUUUUAUCAAAACCUAGGGUUGUUCAUCUAAACAGAUAAUUUUCAUAAAUUUUCACGUUAAAAUUUACCCAUAAUCUAUGUAUUAAACUUACAUUGCAUAGAGAUUACUUACCUCCAAUAGCUAGGUGUAAAUCUCUCUCUAGGAAGCUCGAAAAUCGCCCCAAGAAGUGAAAUAAAUGAACCAAAAAUGACCUAAGUCCGAAAUAAAUGGACGUCACUGCCUCCAAGACUUUCGUAUCUGCGGUCCAUGGGCCGCAUCUACGGCACCGCUUCUGUGGAGAAAGGUCCGCCUCUGCGAAAUUCCCCAGGCCCAUCAUUGGCCGCUUCUGCGGACAGCAUACCGCUUCUGCAGUCCCGCUUCUGUGAUUGGUCAAGCGCACAUGCGGCCCUAUCGCACAUGCAGGCUAGUCAUCGCAGAAGCAAGGCCGCUUCUGCGCGUGAUUCUCCGCUUCUUUUGCCUCUGGAAAAAUGCUUCAAAGCCUCUUCUGCGGACAAAAGAUCACAUAUGCGGGCUCGCACCUGCGGCCAUAAGCUCGCAGGUGCAGGAACACCAGAACUGGUGCACCAGCAACCCUUUUGAGUUCUAAUUCGAUCCGUGCAUAGUCCGGAUUGCACCCGAGGCCUCAUCCAAACAUACCAACAAGUUCGUAAACAUAAAACAUACUCGCUCGCACCCUCAGAAUGCGGAAAACAACAUUAGAACUAAGAAUCGCAACCUAAAACCAAUAGGAUCAACUUAUGAACUUCAAGUUCUUCCAACUCGCUCUAAACGCACCGAAUGAUACCUAAACUACUCGGAAUGACACCAAAUUUUGUGUGCAAGUCUUAAAUUACUAUACGGAGCUAUUCUCAGGUUCGAAAUCCCAAACGGACCUCGAUAUAACCACAACCUACUCCAAACCAAAUUUAAAGAACAUUUAAACCUUCAAUGAGGCAACUUUCAACAUUAAGCGCCGAAACGCUCCCGGAUCAUCCAAAACUUGAUCCGAACAUACGCCCAAGUCCAAAAUUAUCAUACGAACCUAUUGGAACCGUCAAACCCCCAGUUUUGAGGUUGUUUACUAAAAAUGUUGACCAAAGUCAAACUUAGCCUUUUAAAAGCCAAUUAAGGAACUAAGAGUUCCGAUUUCAACCCGAACCCUUCCAAACCCGAACCAACCAUCCCCGCAGGUCAUAAAAUAUUAAAAGCACAUACGGGUAGUCUUAUUUAGGAAAAUGGGGAUCUAGAAAGCAAAACGACCGGUUGGGUCGUUACAUAACUAAAUGGAGUAACUAUCAUUAUCAUACCAAAGCGAGCUCGUAUGAGUUUGGGAAUAGAGGAUUUUAUUGAUGAUAAAAAAAAUUAAAGAUAUAGGUGACAAUGCAUGGUAUGUUUUAGCAUAGAGACAUGAAGGGGAAAGAAAAGUUGGUGAACAGCAUUUGAGGGAUUAUGCGGGACCAAAAUCGAAACUAUCCUUGGAGGAAAUGUUGAUUAAAUUGGUAUGAAUUGAGGAUAAGUCAAUGAAGGUUCUCCAUUAUGACAAGGAGGAUAGAAAAAUUAGCCGUGAGAUUCUAUCCACACUGACCAAGAAGGUAAAUAAUUUAAAAAUGUGUAAUAUUUUUGGUAUGUGUUUAAUGUCAAAUACAUUUAUGGUAAUUAUUUUUAUGCCUAUACAAUCAAUUCAUCUGUGGCCAUUCCUACUCAACGUAGUUGACCAACUCAACGUAUCGUUGAUGAGGCGCAAGAUUAUGUCAUCAACAAGGAGAAUGAAAAGGCUAUGAUUGAAAAUGUAGAUACUGAGCCAAGCUUGGUUGCUCUUGAUGACAAGCUAACUAAUUUAGAUGAGGAACCUGGUGCUGAUGAGAAUACAACUGAAUUCCAUGAUCCAGCUGUAGCUGUAGAUAUGAAGAUGGCGAUUGAGUUACAAGAACCAAGUAUUCCUGAGAAGGAAAGUGAGGUCCAUGCACUGUCCUAGGACGACAAGACUAGUGACACUAAUUCUGGUGUUAGUGGUGAAGCAAAUUAUGAUAUUGAUCGUGAAGUUAAAUGUGGAGUUAUUAGUGGAGCUAAUUCUUGGGUUGAACCAACAUAGAGCUUGGCAGUGAACUAGUUGAUGUCUUAGGUAUUGUGGCUAAUAUUGAAGAACAGAAAGUUGGAGAAAAAGUGGGUGAUGGAUCAUUAAAAUAGUGAUGUAAUAUGCAUGUGAAUGGAUCAUUAUCUAAAUGUGCAUGUGUUUUUACUGUGAUUUAAUCGGUGAAUGUGAAUGUAUUUCUACUAUGAUUUAUCUGAAUGUAAAUAUUAUAAACUGCAAUGGUGGUAAAUUGUUGACUAAGGGAACAUAAAAUGAAGAUGUACGUUCCCCCGAUUAAGGGAACAUAAAAAAUGCUAAUGUAGUGUUACCUUUUCGGUUUCGGAUGAGUUCCACUUAAUUUCCAAGCCGGUGGGGGUAGCCAACAACUUGAAGCAUCUAGCUUCGGAUAAGGAUUGGGAAAAAAUGGAUGCUCUCUCUGCUAAAUGUCUUAUCAACAACAACAUGCAUCUGGCAGCUC